CUUCACGCCUGGCUGACACAACUCAGGAAGCAUUUGGUGUUUAACUCUGUCCGGAAUGCCGCUGGUGCCUUACCAGUUCAGCUCCCUCACGUCUCACAAUAAAGAAUGAAAGUAGCCGGGAGAAGUCAAGACUGGUGCUGGGGCCUAUCCAUACUUGGUUGCUUCACGAAGCAAAUGGGUACUUCCAUCUCAGAAUGGCUCCGUCUGCACUCACACUGAUGAUGUACUGGUUUCCUGGACUAACCCGGAUGCCCAUGAUGUUGCCACUGUGUCCCACCCCGACAUGCAGAGGUAUAGCCGCACACCUGUGUGUGUAUUAGCAUCCCACUGUGUCUGCUUUAAUUUCUUUUUCUAAGUCAGUGUGUUUAUGGAACUUUGAUUUAUUUGAAGCGCUUAUUAAUGUCCUGAAGAAUCAAAGAGCCUGGCAGGAAGUUGUAUUAAUGCUGUUCUAGUGGCCAUGUCCCGUGGUAAAUGCCCCAAAAAAAACAUUAACGAGUUCAUUCACAGCAAGGAGUUGAGGCAUCACAUUCUUCAACAAUAACAACAAACAAACAAACAAAAAACUGGUGGCUCAUACUUAAGUAAAAAAGACAGCCGAGGAGGUGGGAAUGGGGGGCCUACCUACCUCAUAUCCUAGUGCUCAGGAGUCUGAGGCAGGAGGAUCACAAAUUCAAGUCCAGUGGGUGCAAGACCCUAUCUCAAAACAAAAACAAUAAAAACGACCAAAAUGGAGAGGAAAGCACCUCGAAGGCUCGGGACAUUUGAAGGCUCAUGGUCUACCCCAAAGAGGAAACCUCACAAUGUCAAGCUCGUCUUCUCUCUUUGCGCUGUACAAAUGUCUUCCCUCGUUGAAGUGUGACUUUUCCCACCAUGGUGGUGGGCUGUUUGGGCUGAAUGUUACCCAAGCUGUCCUUGAGAUCCUCUACUGGCUCUUCUCAUUGACUCUCACCUAAGACUUCCUUGUCCUCUGAAAUAAGGAACCCUGGGGGUUUUCUUACCUUACUUGGGACUGGGACUAACC